GAUGAACGCUAGCUACAGGCUUAACACAUGCAAGUCGAGGGACCGGCGCACGGGUGAGUAACCCGUAUCCAACCUGCCCUUUACUCGGGGAUAGCCUUUCGAAAGCAAGAUUAAUACCCGAUAUAAAGGAUGGGGAUGCGUUCCAUUAGGUUGUUGGUGAGGUAACGGCUCACCACGCCUUCUAUGGAUAGGGGUUCUGAGAGUAAGGUACACCAGAUCGGAACUGAGACACGGACCAAACUGCUACGGGAGGGAGCAGUGAGGAAGAUUGGUCAAGGGGCGCUAGCCUGAACCAGCCAAGUAGCGUGAAGGAUGAAGGCUUAUGGGUCGUAAACUUCUUUUAUAUAAGAAUAUGUAUUAUAUGAAUAAGGAUCGGCUAACUCCGUGCCAGCCGCCGCGGUAAUAC
rnacentral:rRNA from 1 species